GGCACUGUGGCAUAGAGGGUUAAUGCCCUGGCCUGAAGCACCAGCAUCCCAUAUGGGCGCCGGUUUGAGUCCCGCCUGCUCCA
rnacentral:tRNA from 1 species